GAUAAAUACUGGAAGGUUUUAUUCUUCAAAGCUUCGGCACCUGAGGAUGGGACUGCGUCGGAUUAGCUUGUUGUCGGGAUAAUUACCCGACAAGGCGAUAAUCCGUACGGGUUGUGAGAGCAAUAGCCCGGAGAUGGAUUCUGAGACAUGAAUCCAGGUCCUACGGGACGCAGCAGGCGCGAAACCUUCACAAUGCCUGAAAGGGUGAUGAGGGAACUCUGAGUGACUUCGCAAUGCGAAGUCUUUUGCCAAGUGCAAAAAGCUCGGUGAAUAAGUGGUGGGCAAGACAGUUGCCAGCCGCCGCGGUAAUAACUGCGCCACGAGUGGUGAUCUCGUUUAUUGGGCUUAAAGCGUUCGUAGCCGGUUUUAUAAGCAUCUGGUGAAAUCCGAUAGUAAACUAUUGGGCUGGCUAGGUGUACUGUAAGACUAGGGACCGGUAGGGGCCGGGAGUACUCCUAGGGUAGGGGUUAAAUCCUUUAAUCCUAGGGGGACUACCAGUGGCGAAGGCGCCCGGCUAGAACGGGUCCGACGGUGAGGGACGAAAGCUGGGGGAGCGAUCCGGAUUAGAUACCCGGGUAGUCCCAGCUGUAAACGAUGCCCGCUUGGUGUGGUGAAACUUUCGUGGUUUUGCCGUACCGUAGCGAAAGUGUUAAACGGGCCGCCUGGGAAGUACGACCGCA
rnacentral:rRNA from 1 species